rnacentral:rRNA from 1 species
CCCUUCGGGGUGAAGAUAAGACGGAUUAGCGGCGGACGGGUGAGUAACACGUGAGUAACCUGCCUUUUACACAGGGAUAGCCUCGGGAAACCGGGAUUAAAACCUGAUGAAACUAUCAAAUCACAUGAUUAAGAAAGUUAAAACUCCGGUGGUAAAAGAUGGACUCGCGUCCCAUUAGCUAGUUGGUGAAGGUAACGGCCCACCAAGGCAACGAUGGGUAGCCGGCCCGAGAGGGUGAACGGCCACAUUGGAACUGAGAAACGGUCCAAACUCCUACGGGAGGCAGCAGUGGGGAAUAUUGCACAAUGGGGGAAACCCUGAUGCAGCGACGCCGCGUGAGCGAAGAAGGCCUUCGGGUCGUAAAGCUCUUUUAUAUGGGAAGAUAAUGACGGUACCAUAAGAAAAAGCCCCGGCUAACUACGUGCCAGCAGCCGCGGUAAUACGGAGGAUACGAGCGUUAUCCGGAUUUAUUGGGUUUAAAGGGUGCGUAGGUGGCUGAUUAAGUCAGUGGUGAAAAGCUAUGGCUCAACCAUAGUCUUGCCGUUGAUACUGGUUAGCUUGAGUGUAGAUGAUGUAGGCGGAAUGCGUAGUGUAGCGGUGAAAUGCAUAGAUAUUACGCAGAACUCCGAUUGCGAAGGCAGCUUACAAAACUACUACUGACACUGAGGCACGAAAGCGUGGGUAUCAAACAGGAUUAGAUACCCUGGUAGUCCACGCCGUAAACUAUGAUUACUCAGAGUAUGCGAUAUACAGUAUGCUCUCAAGCGAAAAGCAUUAAGUAAUCCACCUGGGGAGUACGUCGGCAACGAUG